CCUAAGGUAGCGAAAUUCCUUGUCGGGUAAGUUCCGACCCGCACGAAAGGCGUAACGAUUUGGGCACUGUCUCAACAACAGACUCGGUGAAAUUGUAAUUCCGGGGAAGAUGCCGGAUACCUGCGACAGGACGGAAAGACCCCAUGGAGCUUUACUGUAGCUUGACAUUGGGUCUUGGUACUACAUGUACAGGAUAGGUGGGAGGCUU
rnacentral:rRNA from 1 species